GAUGCCAGGGGCAACAGCCAAAAAGAACGAUGCGCUCGCGCAAAAGUGAUUUUAUGGCUGAAUGCCCCGCCCUAAUAUGAGGAUAAAAGUGGGGCGAAUGCCACACGAUAUCCGAAUAUUGGGCAGGAUUGUGAGAGUACGAAGUACGAAACAAUCCGUAAGG
rnacentral:sRNA from 1 species